rnacentral:rRNA from 1 species
GAUGAACGCUGGCGGCGUGCCUAAUACAUGCAAGUCGAGCGAACAGAUGAGGAGCUUGCUCCUCUGACGUUAGCGGCGGACGGGUGAGUAACACGUGGAUAACCUACCUAUAAGACUGGGAUAACUUCGGGAAACCGGAGCUUAUACCGGAUAAUAUAUUGAACCGCAUGGUUCAAUAGUGCACUACGGUUUUGCUGUCACUUAUAGAUGGAUCCGCGCCGCAUUAGCUAGUUGGUAAGGUAACGGCUUACCAAGGCAACGAUGCGUAGCCGACCUGAGAGGGUGAUCGGCCACACUGGAACUGAGACACGGCCCAGACUCCUACGGGAGGCAGCAGUAGGGAAUCUUCCGCAAAGGGCGAAAGCUUGACGGAGCAACGCCGCGUGAGUGAUGAAGGUCUUCGGAUCGUAAAACUCUGUUAUUAGGGAAGAACAAAUGUGUAAGUAACUAUGCACGUCGUGACGGUACCUAAUCAGAAAGCCACGGCUAACUACGUG